rnacentral:rRNA from 1 species
AACGAACGCUGGCGGCGUGGAUAAGACAUGCAAGUCGAACGGGAUUAUUUCCGGUAGCAAUACUGGAGAUAGUCUAGUGGCGAACGGGUGCGUAACACGUGGGCAAUCUGCCGAGAAGUGGGGGAUAGCUCGCCGAAAGGCGAAUUAAUACCGCAUGUGAUCAGGGAAGACAUCUUUCCGACAUCAAAGCCGGGGCAACCUGGCGCUUCUUGAUGAGCCCGCGGCCUAUCAGCUAGUUGGUGAGGUAACGGCUCACCAAGGCAUUGACGGGUAGCUGGUCUGAGAGGACGACCAGUCACACUGGAACUGAGACACGGUCCAGACACCUACGGGUGGCAGCAGUCGAGUAAUUUUUCUCAAUGGGCGAAAGCCUGAAGGAGCGACGCCGCGUGGAGGAUGAAGGUCUUCGGGUUGUAAACUCCUGUCUAUUUGGGAACAAGCUGCACGUUAUUUACUGUACGUGUAUUGAUAGUACCAGAAGAGGAAGAGAC